UACGUAGGGUGCGAGCGUUAAUCGGAAUUACUGGGCGUAAAGCGUGCGCAGGCGGUUAUGCAAGACAGAUGUGAAAUCCCCGGGCUCAACCUGGGAACUGCAUUUGUGACUGCAUGACUGGAGUACGGCAGAGGGGGAUGGAAUUCCGCGUGUAGCAGUGAAAUGCGUAGAUAUGCGGAGGAACACCGAUGGCGAAGGCAAUCCCCUGGGCCUGUACUGACGCUCAUGCACGAAAGCGUGGGGAGCAAACAGG
rnacentral:rRNA from 1 species